UCAUUUGAGCGUGUACAGUUUUGUUUAUAAUUAGUGAAGAGAUGAAAAUAAUGAAACUGUAUGGUGCAGAAAGUGUAUUUUUCAUUACAGUUUCUGCUGCUGGGCAAGCGGUAGAUCACUAUGGCUUCUGUACCGUGAAAUGAAGCUUAUGAUAAAUAAAAUACUGCUGCUUGCUGGUCACUGAUUCAAGAUCGUUCAGUGGCUACCAUUGGCCAAUCUCACCAACGGGAUAUAAUAAGAACUAAUGCAGGUUUUUAUCUAUAUGUAUUGUCUAUCUAUUCGGAACAAAGUUAGUACGCUUUUUAAACCGAUGUUGGAUUUUUCUCCAGAUACAGGCAACCCACUUAAUUUUGGAAGUAGUGCGCUGGAUUCGUCAAAAGAUAUGCUAAACAACCGAAGGAAAAUAAAAUAAUUUGUAAAACAAUAAAUUGUAUUGUAUUUUUAUUGUAAUAUUGGAGUAGAAUGUAUUCUAAAUCCUGUUGUAUUUCUAUUGUAAAACAAUAGAAACAGUAAUUGAAAACAUUUAAAACACAAUGUUUUCUAUUGUUUUGUCGCUCGAAAUCAUCCCAUUGAAGAACCGUAAAAUCAAUUGUUUUGCUCCGAAUUUUGUAUGGAAAAUUUUCGAUUUUUUUAUUGUAAAGAUACAUAACAACCCCCCUUUUUAAUUGUAAAAGUCCCAUUUACCAUUCA